GUGCUUAUUUCACCAGCACAUAUACUAAAAUCAAAAGGAAGAUUAGCAUGAUCCCUGAGAAGGAUGACAUGCACAUAUUUUAACCAUUCCACUUAAAA
rnacentral:snRNA from 1 species